CCCUUAACUAAAAAAAGAUUGUUUGAGGAUUUUAAUUUUUUUUUUUAGUCUCGUUUUGGUCCAUUCUGUUAGGUUUCCGUUAGUUUUAAUAAAAAACGUUAAGUGUGGACACGUGUCACCUUGUCAUAAAAAAAAAAUCUCAGAGCCAAUGACAAGGUGACACGUGUCCAGGAGUUAACUUUUUUUUAAAACCCUAACGGAAACCUAACAGAAGGGACCAAAACGAGACUAAAAAAAAACUUAAAAUCCUCAAACAAUCUUUUUUUUAGUUAAGGGA
rnacentral:pre_miRNA from 1 species